CUUGUCAGAGCCCUCAAGUUUGAAGUAGAUAGAUUGUGCUCAACUUGCAACACGGAACCUGCGUAUUUCAAGUACAAUUCCCAGUAUGGCCAAGCGUUCAUACGAACAUGGAUCGAGAUUUGCUGGGAAUUGCUAGAGCCACUGAGGUCUUUUUCCGCUCAUUCUUUCGCCUUGUCAUCUGCAAUACUCCGGGUUUGUGGCCGUUGGAGUGAGCAAGCAAAGCGGGUGGAUGAUAAUGGUCCAUGGGUCUUUCUUGAGCCAUCAUGCUUGCCACACAAUCGCUUUGCGAGCGACUUCCCACCAGACAUGUGACAACUACAAUCAUCAGAGCAAAGAAAUGAUCCUGAAAAAAAAACCAAGCAAAUGUAAUAUUCGGGUCUACAGCUGGUAAAAUGGCAGCCCUGCUGUUUCGUCUCUUAUUGUACUCUGUGAACUAGACCAAUUGGUGGCAUGCUUGAAAUCGGAACUUGAGGCCAAGUUGUAUUGGAACGCCCCUCGUAAAGUUGUGGCUCAACCUUGAGUGGUUGGUCCAAACUGGUCCCACUUCCCACUUAUAUGGUUCGCCUCAGCGACACCAAGAUUGU